rnacentral:rRNA from 1 species
UACGGAGGGUGCAAGCGUUAUCCGGAUUCACUGGGUUUAAAGGGUGCGUAGGAGGGCAGGUAAGUCAGUGGUGAAAUCUCUGAGCUUAACUCAGAAACUGCCAUGGAUACUAUUUGUCUUGAAUGUUGUGGAGGUAAGCGGAAUAUGUCAUGUAGCGGUGAAAUGCUUAGAUAUGACAUAGAACACCAAUUGCGAAGGCAGCUUACUACGGGGUCAUUGACACUGAGGCACGAAAGCGUGGGGAUCAAACAGG